ACACACAAGCAUAUAACAAUUUUAAAAAGCUUGCAAUAGCGGCUUAAGCCCUCUUACUGGAGUCCCCAGCAGAGUCGCCACCUGUCGCCGUCGGGAUUUUUAAUUGUCCCUUUUCGUUACUUGUCUUUUGGUGUUCUCAUGUUAAUGUGAGAUUUGUUUGAAAAAACAAGUGAAAAAGGUCCGACAUGUAUAAUGUCAACGGUUGACUUUAAGAGUUGCCAGUUGGUAUAUUUAACUGGUUGUACCAACGCAACCGAAAAGGUUUUGCACAUUGACCCAGUGAUUUGGCACUGCUAAAUGGGUCUGUGAAACUGAGAUUCAUUAUGGGUUCGGGGGCUUGAUUAUGCAGAGGGAAGGUGUUAGGCACCCCCCGACAUCAGUGUUACCACGGUGACCGCCACUUUUCAAAGAAACUGUUAUAUGAAUGUGUGUGUAUGUGUGGAUCAAUGUGAAAUUAUAUGAAAGUAGUGCGAGGCCUCAUUCGCACCUAUAUACACGGGUUUGAAUUUUAUUUAGAAAAAUCCAAUUUUAACCACAAG
rnacentral:lncRNA from 1 species